UGAGGAAUUUUGGACAAUGGGGGAAACCCUGAUCCAGCGACGCCGCGUGAAGGAUGAAGGUCUUCGGAUUGUAAACUUCUUUUAUCUGGGACUAAGAAAUCUAUAGAAAUAUAGAGAGUGAAUGUACCAGAGGAAUAAGCCACGGCUAACUUCGUGCCAGCAGCCGCGGUAAUACGAAGGUGGCAAGCGUUACUCGGAAUUACUAGGCGUAAAGGGCAGGUAGGUGGUCCGAUAAGUCUGUUGUGAAAGCUCCCGGCUCAACUGGGAGAGGCCAACAGAUACUGUCAGGCUUGAGUAUAGGAGAGGAUACUGGAAUUCCCGGUGUAGCGGUGAAAUGCGCAGAGAUCGGGAGGAACACCAAUGGCGAAAGCAGGUAACUGGACUAUUACUGACACUCAGCUGCGAAAGCUAGGGGAGCAAACAGGAUUAGAUACCCCGGUAGUCC
rnacentral:rRNA from 1 species